rnacentral:rRNA from 1 species
GUAGUCCACGCCCUAAACGAUGGAUGCUAGGCGUAAGGGGUAUCGACCCCCCUUGUGCCGCAGCUAACGCACUAAGCAUCCCGCCUGGGGACUACGGCCGCAAGGUUGAAACUCAAAUGAAUUGACGGGGACCCGCACAAGCGGUGGAGCAUGUGGAUUAAUUCGAUACUAACCGAAGAACCUUACCCAGGUUUGACAUCGAGGGAAAGCCUCUGAAAGGAGGCCCUCGCCCACAAGGCGACCCGAAGACAGAUGUUGCAUGGCUGUCGUCAGCUCGUGCCGUGAGGUGUACGGUUAAGUCCGCCAACGAGCGCAACCCUCGUCGUGUGUUACCAGCGAGUAAAGUCGGGGACUCACACGAGACCGCCGGUGUAAGCCGGA